ACACAGAGAGCAGCCUGCACUUCGCUCUAGGCCAACGAGCUCUGUCCCUACCUCUUAGACCUCCUCUAUUUGGACUCCAUCUCCAGCCUCUAAGGUGGCUUCAUACAGGUAGCCUGGCAGACCCAGGCUUGUCUCGGUCAGAACUCGGAAGCCAGUGGGAGAAGCCCUGAGGAAGCCGAGACCAGCCCCCUGUCCUCCUCAUCUGUCCUAGGCUGGCGAGAUGGCUUAUUCAUUAAAUGCACUUUCCACCAAGGAGAAUGACCUGAGUUCAAUCCCCAAGAUCCACAUGAUGGAAGGAGAGAAGCAGCUCCCCCAAGUGAUCCUCUGGUCUCUACGCUUGUGAUACAGCUAAUGUGCCAUGGGACCUCUCUGUGAGCCAUGGGACACAUACACACAAUAAAUCAAUUAAAAAUAAUAA